UAAUAAUUUCUCCCAAAGGCCAAAACCCUAACUUAAUCACUAUCCCUCUUUUCCCAGCCAAGCAGCCACCAUCUCCAUUCUCCAGUCUGACGGUAUCCCUCUUCAGUUCUUCCUCGCCGGGAAACGCUUAAGUCGCCGGAAAAAGAAGCCAGAUAAGUAAACUAAACUCUUCUUAAUUUACUUUGUCAUUAAAUUUAAUUUUUUUUGUAAGAAUUCAAUUUGUCAAAUGAUGAAUUUUGUUUAGUCGAUUAAAUGAAUGUAUAAUCCUACUGCUACACUUUGAUAAUGAUAAUAUAUGAUGUAUAGUGAGAAUCCAUGAUCUAAGCGACAUAGUUGUCAGCAUCCUCUUCAAGGGGAUAUAUGUUGUAGAUGUCUCCUUUGUAAUUUGACUUUCUUUGGCACUAGUUGAUCAAUGGUAAGUACAAUCUGAAAUUUCAUUUUAAGAGCAUGAUGUUAGAAAUUUGAAUGUUGUUUUGGCUUGGAAUGUUAUAUCAAUUUGCAAUUUCUUUUAUCUAUCAAGCUGUAAUACUGUACAUAUGGUGAAAUGGUGAAUUUGUUGAAUUUUUUUUUUAUUUUAGGGAAUGGAAGGUGAUGAAUCUGGAUAUGAAUCUUCAUUUCCUUGCUCAACUCCUUCUACAGCUUCUCCGUCUCCUUCUCAAGUUCGCAAUGGAAUAUAUAUGCAUCAUCCUAAUGGAAGAGCAGCAAUUUUCAACAAAGUUAUGAAAGUUUUCAGUUUCAAAGAAUACUCAUGGUUUUUACAUCCACCAAGUAACACCAUGGAGAUUAAUCAGUUCCACACCGUUGAUUACAUAUUUGAAGUUGAUUGGGCUGAUGAGUGUGCGUGGAUUUUCAAGAAAAUUAGUUAAUGUCAACAAAAAAGUAGUUACAAAUGCAAUUUCAAUACUUAUACUUAUUUAUUAAAGUGUUUUUAAAUACUAUUUGAUUGUAUUUCAAAGAAUCUUAUUCACAAAAUGGAUGUGAACUUAAAUACUAACUUGCAUUUGCUU